UACGGAAGGUGCGAGCGUUAUCCGGAAUUACUGGGUUUAAAGGGUGCGUAGGCGGCUGUGUAAGUCAGGAGUGAAAGUUUGCGGCUCAACCGUAAAAUUGCUUUUGAUACUGCAUGGCUAGAAUCAGGAUGAGGUUAGCGGAAUGUGGCAUGUAGCGGUGAAAUGCAUAGAUAUGCCAUAGAACACCAAUUGCGAAGGCAGCUGGCUAGACCUGUAUUGACGCUGAGGCACGAAAGCGUGGGGAGCGAACAGG
rnacentral:rRNA from 1 species